rnacentral:rRNA from 1 species
UACAUGGGGUGCAAACGUUGCUCGGAAUUAUUGGGCGUAAAGCGCACGUAGGCGGUCCGUUAAGUCGGAUGUGAAAGCCCCCGGCUCAACCGGGGAAGUGCAUCCGAAACUGGCAGGCUAGAGUACGAAAGAGGGUCGCGGAAUUCCCGGUGUAGAGGUGAAAUUCGUAGAUAUCGGGAGGAACACCUGAGGCGAAGGCGGGCUACUGGGCCGAUACUGACGCUGAUGUGCGAAAGCCAGGGGAGCGAACGGG